UUCCGGGAAGGUUCGGACUCUGAUAAGAGGGAUGAUAUAGUUGAAUCGAUGACGGUCUAGUUUACAGCGUAUGAACACUUUCUGCUUCUCCGUGAUGAGGCACACGCCGAGCCGAAAGAAAUGGCGCUCUGUGAUUGGUUCGUUUGUACCUGCAAUGCGUCACUCCCCAUUUUCUGCGUUUCGCUGCAUUCAGCCAGUCGUCCAAGACAUCUUAAUGCUACAUCCACAGCAGGCUAGCUAGGCAACCGCUAUGUACAGUACGUACUCAUGGGCUUCAUUCAUAAGGAACUCCUUAGCAGUUUUGCACUUACUAUAUUUAUUUAGAACUGAAUCUUUAAUCCCACCAGUUUUAUGUGUCAGUUUGUUGUAUAUCUUAAUAUCAAAUUACAGUACAUCACAUGUUAACAUCGAUGCUCUCUAAAACUGUUAUCCCAGUGUGGGACUCCCAGGGUAAAUGAUCAAUGCAUCUAUAAUGAGAUGCACAUGUAUGUGAUUAUUUUUUUUUUUUUUAGCCCUUGGUCAUCCAUAAUGUGUGCAUUUCUCUGGCAUGCACAUUGAGAUACGUUUGUUGCAUGCAUUACUACCUAUGGCACAGUUUCAGGUCUAAUUAUGUAGUUAGUGUGAAGGGAGUAUCUGAUAGCAUGAUUGCUGACGCUUGACUGCACUCCUGUCUCCAAGCGGCCACCUGUCUCAGGCCUGUUCCAAUGGAAGAGGAUGAGGUUGAGAGAAGGUAGAUGUGUGAGGGGAACCACUUUAUACUGUAUUACCUUUGGCCUGGGUCAGCAUAGAUGAAAGAGGAAAGAAAUGAAGCAACAUUUCAAACAAAAAAAAAGCAAAGGGACAUUUAAGCUUUCACGGUGACUCAAGUCAGGGAGUCAGUGCGUGAGUUGUAGCCCAUAGCAGCUCUUGUAUGAAAGCGCAUUCUGUGACCACUCAUGGUAAUAAAGUAACUGAAGUGCAUCAGCGACUGUCAUCCUUGACCACAUACGAGAACAUUACAAUACCGAUAAAGAAAUCAGCAUCCCUUUGUAGAGGAUACAGAGUGGUUCCCACUUCCAUCUGUGGUAAUGCCAGGUCAUGUGAUCAACUGUCCAGCCUCACAGUCAGCCAGACUUUUUUGCAACCUGCAUAAUCUUGAGCACAUUGAAUUAGUUUUCAUACAGAGGUUUCUUUUUGUCACCGAGGAUUAUGAAAUACCAAAGGUGACGACACAAAGGCCGAACUUUGUCACAAGAAUCGGAUAAGCUGGAGCCUGGGUGAAUGAAUGACUGCAUGCUCAAGAUCUAUUGCCACCCUGCUGCCAAUAUUCCCAAUUCGCUGUUCCCUUUAAUGAGCCAUUGGUCUCUGAGAAGCCGAUGAAGGACAAAGGGUUCAAAGUUCAUCCCAGUUCAACAGAGGCAAAGCAGAAGUCACCCUUCCAUGUUCAUUAAUAAUCCGUAAGAUCACUCAGCUGAAUGGCACUUAGCAUGGAUCCUUUUGUUGCACAAUCAUAUUCUAAAAUAUAUCUUUUUUAUAGCAUUUGUGGACCAUGAGAGGCAAAUGACAAAUAUGAGGCAAUGUUUACCUGUGUAACAGGAAGACGCUAUUAUAAAUGAAUGAGGCUGUGUAAUGCACCUGCUGGUUUAAUGCCAAACAAGUGCAUCGCCUUUCAUGGGAGACAAUGUCAGGUGUUUGCACUUCACUGUCAACUAAAAGAUCAUUGCGUCAUGUAUGUAUUUCUGCAUGUUUGUUUUGCCUUCUUUCUGUAUGUUUAAGCUAAUAUGGAAUCUAAAUGCUUUUUUGGUGAAUGUUUCAAUGUGUGUGUACUGAGGGUAAAACAAGAUGGAAUGGGUGUGAUUGUUUGUGGAUUAAUAUUUUAUUACGCAUGGGCAAAUCAGCUGGAUCUGAAAUGCCUCGCCGCACUAACUGGCUAAAGGUAGGCUACGGCUCAGUUAGUGCACGACGUAGAUGAUCCCACAGCAAAGCACUUCUCGUAAGUAUGGAUGGGUUUUACAGUCGUGCAAUAACAGUAUUAGGCGUAUAAAGUCCAACAACGGGCUUGCUGUAUAUAAACCAAUCUCAUCAAGCACGCUAGCCUACCUGUUACAGAGAAAUGAGACAAAUGACUGGUUCUCCAAAAUGACAUCACGAGGCAGAAAUGAUUAAUGGCCUCAAAUCGGAUAAGAGGAUUUGGUCAGGCCUGCCUGUUUCAAUCAUGUUGUGAUGAAAUGGAUAUAGCAUAAAGUGUGUCCUUAGUAUUUUUAUCUCCCUGAAUUGUUUGUAUUUCUAUGCAGAUUACUGAAGUUCUUUUAUUUAAGGAAGGGAUGUAAAACUUAUUUUUAUCAUGGGCCACAUCAUAGUUAUGACUUCCCCAGUUAUGACUUCCCUCGGAGGUCCAUAAUGACUGAAUGAAAUUUAAAUAAAUUAUCCCCUCUUAUAAUUACAAAUA